rnacentral:rRNA from 1 species
UGUAUUAAAACUUUCAACAACGGAUCUCUUGGCUCUAGCAUCGAUGAAGAACGCAGCGAAAUGCGAUAAGUAAUGUGAAUUGCAGAAUUCAGUGAAUCAUCGAAUCUUUGAACGCACAUUGCGCCCAGCAGUACUCUGCUGGGCAUGCCUGUCCGAGCGUCAUUUCACCACUCAAGCUAUGCUU